CAAUGGUCCUAUUUUAGGUGCCAUUGACUGGCACUCUUUUAGUCAACUUAUACUGCGACCAUACGGAUGGACAAAUCAAGAUUCUCCUGAUGAAGCCCAGUUAAAGGAGAUUGGUGAUGAAAUGAGUGCAAAAAUCUUUGAUGUUUUUGGUAAAACCUACACGUCACAGAAAGUCAUUGAUCUUUA